rnacentral:rRNA from 2 species
UUUAUUGGAGAGUUUGAUCCUGGCUCAGGAUGAACGCUGGCGGCGUGCCUAAUACAUGCAAGUCGAGCGAAUGGAUUAAGAGCUUGCUCUUAUGAAGUUAGCGGCGGACGGGUGAGUAACACGUGGGUAACCUGCCCAUAAGACUGGGAUAACUCCGGGAAACCGGGGCUAAUACCGGAUAACAUUUUGAACCGCAUGGUUCGAAAUUGAAAGGCGGCUUCGGCUGUCACUUAUGGAUGGACCCGCGUCGCAUUAGCUAGUUGGUGAGGUAACGGCUCACCAAGGCA